UACAUAUACAGGGCAUGUGGUGAUGUUAAUAUGGAUGUUGCCUAAGGGCUGCUGAUCAAAAUGACGUUGAGUGCCUUAAGCAACUGUGUUGAGUAUGCAAUUGCAGAGGUGAGUGCUGGGGUGUCAGAGGAGGAUUUAUGUCGGGUUUCUCCUGAUAAUUUCUUAUCUUCUGUAGGAUGAAAAUGUCUGUGAUGUUUGAGUAAUCGGAGGCUUUCAAUGCGUUGUCAUUAAGAAAUGCUUGGAGCCUAAACAACUACUAUGUAAUUGUGCAUUAACACACUAUAAAAUAUAUUCACAGCACAAGCUGAGACACG
rnacentral:lncRNA from 1 species